GCCUCUAGCGAGCUGGUACAUGGCCCGUACCCCAAACCGACACAGGUGGUCAGGUAGAGAAUACUAAGGCGAUCGAGAGAACUGUGGUUAAGGAACUCGGCAAAAUGCCCCCGUAACUUCGGGAGAAGGGGGACCAGUCCUGGUGACGACAUUUACUGUCUGAGCUGGGGUUGGUCGCAGAGACCAGAGAGAAGCGACUGUUUACUAAAAACACAGGUCCGUGCGAAGUCGUAAGACGAUGUAUACGGACUGACGCCUGCCCGGUGCUGGAAGGUUAAGAGGACCGGUCAGCCACUUCGGUGGCGAAGCUGAGAAUUUAAGCCCCAGUAAACGGCGGUGGUAACUAUAACCAUCCUAAGGUAGCGAAAUUCCUUGUCGGGUAAGUUCCGACCUGCACGAAUGGCGUAACGACUUCUCUGCUGCCUCAACCACAGACUCGGCGAAAUUGCAGUACGAGUAAAGAUGCUCGUUACGCGCGGCAGGACGAAAAGACCCCGGGACCUUCACUAUAGCUUGGUAUUGGUGUUCGGUUCGGUUUGUGUAGGUUAGGUGGGAGACUGUGAAACUCGCACGCCAGUGUGGGUGGAGUCAUUGUUGAAAUACCACUCUGACCGUAUUGGACAUCUAACCUCGGACCAUGAUCUGGUUCAGGGACAGUGCCUGGUGGGUAGUUUAACUGGGGCGGUUGCCUCCCAAAAAGUAACGGAGGCGCCCAAAGGUUCCCUCAGCCUGGUUGGCAAUCAGGUGUUGAGUGUAAGUGCACAAGGGAGCUUGACUGUGAGACGUACAUGUCGAGCAGGGACGAAAGUCGGGACUAGUGAUCCGGCACCGGCAAGUGGAAGCGGUGUCGCUCAACGGAUAAAAGGUACCCCGGGGAUAACAGGCUGAUCUUCCCCAAGAGUCCAUAUCGACGGGAUGGUUUGGCACCUCGAUGUCGGCUCGUCGCAUCCUGGGGCUGGAGUAGGUCCCAAGGGUUGGGCUGUUCGCCCAUUAAAGCGGCACGCGAGCUGGGUUUAGAACGUCGUGAGACAGUUCGGUCUCUAUCCGCCGCGCGCGUAAGAAACUUGAGGAAACCUGUCCCUAGUACGAGAGGACCGGGACGGACGAACCUCUGGUGUGCCAGUUGUUCCACCAGGAACACCGCUGGUUAGCUACGUUCGGAAGGGAUAACCGCUGAAAGCAUCUAAGCGGGAAGCCUGUUCCAAGAUGAGGUUUCUCACCACCUAGCGUGGUUAAGGCCCCCCACAGACCAUGGGGUUGAUAGGCCAGAACUGUAAGCACAGCAAUGUGUUCAGGUGACUGGUACUAAUCGGCCGAGGACUUACU
rnacentral:rRNA from 1 species